CGGGAGUAGUUUUCUGCUCCAUGGUUUUUAAUAGCCGCAGUACUCUGACUGUGCUAAGGUAGCUUAAUAAUUUGUCUCUUAAUUAGAGACUGGUAUGAACGAGAUGACAACUCUAUUUCUUUUUUAAUUUUUAUUGUAAAAAUUGAUAUUUGUUUCAAAAAGAACAGCUAGCUAGGGGGACGACAAGACCCUGUGAAACUUUAUUUCGAGUUCAUUAUUUUAUUUACAGGAGGAAUGAGUGAGUGUAAAUUAAGCUGGGGCGGUAUUAAAAAAACUUUUAAAGAAAAAACAGAUUUUUCUGAUUUUGAAGAUCUUGUUAUCAAAAGAUAGAAUAAGUUACUCUAGGGAUAACAGCACAAUUUUUUUGUAUAGAUCGUAUAGAUGGAAAAGACUGUGACCUCGAUGUUGAAUUGAAGAACCUUGUUAGAGCAGACACUAACGGAGGAGGUCUGUUCGCCCUUUGAUCCUUC
rnacentral:rRNA from 1 species